UUGGCUUCAUGUUGCUGCCGAAGCAAUCAAUGGCUUACACUGAAUGUGGUUGUGUAGGUCAGUUUCCAGAUUGGAGCCGAUAAAAUCGUUCCCCUCGCUAUCCAGUGCUUCAUUAUUGGUGAAGUAAUUUUGGACGUCGGGGAACUACAUCU